AGAUUUAUUGGCCCACUGUAGACAAAAAACAAAGCAGACAAAUCAAUAAUGAUAAGUUACGGUCUUUGAUCAUUCAUUUUUACGAUAUGUUACGAUAAGAAAUCAAACUGCUCAGCAACACAAUAACAAAUUUAAUUAACAUAUGCAAAGCAGUAUACAGCUCUACAUUUACUCCAUAUUUUUUAUCUCUCUCAUAGUCUCAUCUUAAGGUAAGUUUGCACAAAACGUAAAUGUAAAUAAAAGCUGUAGCGAGUAAAUCUCUCAAUAUACAAUAUGAGCAUAAAUGCAAUUUUUUAUUCUCCAAUUAACAUAAAAAAUGUUUAAUUUACUUCU